UUACGAACAUAUCACGUUGAAACCCCUAGUUCCCGUCCGAUCACCGAGGUUAAGCAACGUCGAUCCUGGUCAGUACCUAAAUGAGUGACUGCUUGGUAAUUCCAGGCGCUGUAAG